AAGUCGUAGCAAGGUCUCCGUUGGUGAACCAGCGGAGGGAUCAUUAUAGAGUUUUUUCUAACUCCCAACCCAUGUGAACUUACUUUUGUUGCCUCGGCGGAGCCUACCCGGUACCUACCCUGUAGCGCCCCGCCGGUGGACUUAUAAACUAUUGUUAUUUUAAUGAUAUCUGAGAGUCUUAUUUAAUAAGUCAAAACUUUCAACAACGGAUCUCUUGGUUCUGGCAUCGAUGAAGAACGCAGCGAAAUGCGAUAAGUAAUGUGAAUUGCAGAAUUCAGUGAAUCAUCGAAUCUUUGAACGCACAUUGCGCCCAUUAGUAUUCUAGUGGGCAUGCCUGUUCGAGCGUCAUUUCAACCCUUAAGCCUAGCUUAGUGUUGGGAGUCUACAUAUGCAUAGCUAUCUUAGUUAUGUUGUAGCUCCUUAAAUCAAACGGCGGAUUUAUAUGUAUCCUCUGAGCGUAGUAAAUUUUCAUCUCGCUUUUGUCAGGUGCUAUAAUUCUUGCCGUUAAACCCCCUUACUUUAAUGGUUGACCUCGGAUCAGGUAGGAAUACCCGCUGAACUUAA
rnacentral:rRNA from 1 species